UACACCAAGGAUAGAAUACAUUCCACUGGAAUCCAUAUGUCUCAUCGGUAGUUUGCUAGCGAGCGACGUACCGAUCGUUUUUACGAUUUAAUGUUAAAAAAAAAAAAAAAAAAAAAAGACGAGCGCCGAGUUGUUUCAAAGUGUUUCAAGGAUGAGGAGAUAUAUUAGAAGCGAUGCAACACAAACAACGAUCAGCUUGUAUCUUGACGAUGGCAUGUCUUUGAUCAACUGAAAUGGAAAUGAACACAGCAUCAAGUUUCAGAGCAGUAACAAAUUGCAAACAAAAGCAAGGGUUCGUCGCCGUUCGACCGGACAUGUUUUAGGAUGGGGACGGAAAAGAGAGAACAAAAUGACACCGGACAUCAACAACACCUGCGUGGAUCUGGAUUCAGAAAAGAGAGAGCAAAAAAAAAAAAAAAAAACGUUUAUGGAAGGAGGAGAGAGCAAAAGUUGGGAUUUGCUUGGUGAAGAUUGGGUUCAGUGAAAAAAAAAAAAAAAUUCAACAACACCUGUUGGAUCCUGCGGUCCAAGGAGGAGGUUAAAAACAAAAGUUCGAACCGGUAACAUUUCGUUGUAACACGCCAUUCUGAAUAAUGUGUUUUUUUCUGGGGUCACAAGGUCACAGGUCAGCACAAGGUCGCGUGGGCGUGCCCGCGAGUGUGCAAUAAAUGACUGACACCUGUUCGGCACUUCUUUUUUUUUCCCCUCUCUGAAUUUCUCCUCAGGGGUGGUGAGUUCAAUUGAGAAAGCACAAGACGGGGGGACCAAAAAGCUGUAAUUUGUUUCACUGAUCAGAUUUAUGGACCACUGUCGAGUCAUAGUUUCAAAAUCAAAAAUAGAACACAAAUAAAAUAAAAUUGCAAACUCUUCCUUUAAACAAGAAGCAACUACAGCUGGCAGUAAAAACCAACAAACAUCCACAAUAUUUUGAAAUUGAAAUAAAACCAUACAACUCUCCACAUUGCGACAAAAUGAGAACUCACCACUAUAAAUUCUUCCAUUUUUUUUCCUUUUUCUAAUUGUUUCUCCAUGUGCUAGUAGCCUCUCUGUGACCUCCGCGCACUUUUUUUUUUUUCCUCCCUCUCCUGCACCUUUGCCAAUAUCGGCCACAUGUGUUUGGGUGACCAGAACACCGCGGCAACCUCGCCAUUCGUCUUCAUUUCUACAAAAGUCGUCAUGCAUGCCGCGCGUUUUAGCUCCGUUCGAAGACAUCUGAGAUGGCUAUUUACGCUGCUCGUAGUUUGAAGCUCACGGCGCUCUUCGGUCAUCACGUGAUUUAUUGGGGGAAAAAAAUCGCGGGGGGAAUGCGGAAUAAUAACUCACGGGAUGAGAUGCCAGAUAUGACUUUUAUUUCGAGUAAAGAGCUUUCAAGUUCUUCUUAUCAUCUUUUAUUUUGGACUCUGGCCUCCAGUUGCACUGUUUGCCUGUUUACGUAUUGGGAAAUAUGUCACAUUGGCUUUUUAAUAGCUUGCCUCCAAAUUGAUGCGUCUCUGGAGUGCUUGCCCAAGCAUCAAGUAUGAAAUUAAAUGAAUUAUUUUUGGUUAACUCCCGAGUUCGGAAAAAGGGACUGUGAUUGGGAAGAGGUUGAUUUGUUUGCUCAUUUACACAACAAUGCUCAAACAUUGAGUUUAUCUGCUCAAACCAUGACACCUAAAUCUGAAAAUUUCAAGACAAGGUAAGCAGAGCUGCAUUGAGUUUUGUUGGAGUUCAGUUUAUGCUUCUGAUAAACCGCACGUUUCUGAAAAUGUGUCCGUACUUUCAGAUUCACCCCCCCCCCGCCCCCCACCCUACCCCAACACCGUUUCUGUGCCGAUCACUUGGCAGCUAGGCUAGGUGAAGAGCCACCACUUUCAAGCCUGCGUGAAACAUGAGCCAAAAGAACAGAGCUAUGGAAAGAAGCCAAGUUGGACAGGCAUGGUGAAAGGGGCCUGUGAUACAUUCCAAAGCUGGGAAAUCCAUGAAUCGACUUGGAACCCCCUUUCAUACACACCAGCAGGAUGGAAAGAAGCUGGCUUUGAUUAACUGUUUGAAAGUAAAAGCCGCCCCCAGCUCGAUCCACCACGCACCAUCUUCAUAACUGCCACCCAGGUCAGCAAGCUGGACAAAAAGCGGGCCGUGGGAAAGGGGCUUUUACUACCUGCAGAUGUAGGGUACAAUUAAUUUUGUGAUGAGCUAGCUACAGUAAAAAAAAAAAAACAAAAAAACUGAAAAAAUUCGGUCUGCCUCCAAAUUAAAUGAUUGUGUUUUCAUCCCCUUUCACACACCCUGUCUUUUUUGUGUCUUUGGACUGUGUGAAAGGCAUCGACACAGAUUGGUGCGGAUGACGAAAAUCUCUUCAACAACCAACAAGAAGUCCAAUUUCCUUGCAUUGAACAUUUUUGUGUCUUCAUCCCCUUUCACACUGCCAUCAUCGUUGUCUUUUCCCCCAUUUUAACCCCCUUUCAAACUGGCCUGUGUGAAAGUGACCAACACAGAAAGAUGGGGGAGCGGCAACAACUCCCAAGAAUUCCAGUUGCCUUCAAGUUUCCUUCAAGACUUUCAAUGCCCCUUCCACGCCACUCGACAGGAAGUCAAGCUGACUUCCAUUCACCUUUUGUGGCUCUUUAGCCCCUUUCACGCUGCCCAUCAAAGCUGUCUUUUUCUAAUGUACGGGAUAAAUGGGAAACCUCCUUUAAAAAAAAAAAAAAAAAAAAAGUCCUAAAAGGGUCUGAUGUCAAUAACAUAAACAGUUGCUGAGGAAUGUGGCGUUUGAUGAAAUGUGCAACAGGCGAUAAGCGCAAGAAGUCAUAAGGGAGAGGCAACAAGCCGUGAUGGAUGUGCGCGCUUUCCCCUCCGCUUGAAAUUUCCCAGAUAUAUUUCAUGCUUUUAGCAAACAAACUGCCGCGUAUUUUCCCCGGCUCGCCGGCUCCCCCGACGCGCCGUUAUCAAACCCCGCAAUGACUCGAGCUGCUUUGAUGCCGUGAUUCGCCCUGUCAGCGAUUUUCAGCAACGUUCUUGUCUCGCUUCGAGCGCUCUCUCGGCCCUUCGGAGGAG